rnacentral:lncRNA from 1 species
CAUUGCAUUGCACUAUGAUAAGCCAUAGCCCUUGCUAAGGAGUCUAGAUCUCACCAGAAGUCCAAGCACAUAGAGCGACAGUUUCACAUCAUAUGCGACUACCUCGAGAAGAAGUUUGUCGAGGUGCAGAGAGUCAACUCCAUGCAAAACAUGGUAGACCCACCGACGAAGCCUCUCAGCUAGCGAAAGAUCGAAGCUCACUUUGAGAAGAUGGAUCUUAGGUUUACAGCCAAUUGAUUUUAGGUCAAGUGGGAGUUUUUUGAAUGUG